rnacentral:rRNA from 1 species
CCUACGGGAGGCAGCAGUGGGGAAUAUUGGACAAUGGGCGAAAGCCUGAUCCAGCAAUGCCGCGUGUGUGAAGAAGGCCUUCGGGUUGUAAAGCACUUUCAGUGGGGACGAAAGCCUUGGGGCUAAUACCCUCGAGGAAGGACAUCACCGACAGAAGAAGCACCGGCUAACUCCGUGCCAGCAGCCGCGGUAAUACGGAGGGUGCGAGCGUUAAUCGGAAUUACUGGGCGUAAAGCGCGCGCAGGCGGUCUGAUAAGCCGGUUGUGAAAGCCCCGGGCUCAACCUGGGAACGGCAUCCGGAACUGCCAGGCUAGAGUGCGGGAGAGGAGGGUAGAAUUCCCCGUGUAGCGGUGAAAUGCGUAGAGAUCGGGAGGAAUACCAGUGGCGAAGGCGGCCCUCUGGACUGACACUGACGCUGAGGCGCGAAAGCGUGGGUAGCAAACAGGAUUAGAUACCCCGGUAGUC